UUUAAAUAUAUAUAUAAACUCAGAAAAUAUUCUCGUUUCAGUAAACAAUAAUGUGGAUCACACUUUAUUUAAUUGAUUAUCAACAGAAUACAUCAUUUUGAUGUUUAUGAUCAAGGACAGAAAAUUGAUAGCCUAUUGAUUAUCAUCAGAAAAACUGUCAAAUAAUUUUAGUAAAUAGUGAUAUAGAUAAACCACAUGUGUGUUGAUUGUCAUCAGAUCACAAUAAUUCACUAAUCAUCACCACAGAUUGGUUAUUAAAGGGUUAAACUGUACAGAAAACUGUACAAGUGCUCACCAGAUGAAGAAAAUACUUAAACUUCUGUUUUUUGCAAUGAUUUAUGAAAUAACUUUCAGGUAGAGUUUUAAUUUAUUAACUUUUUUAAAGUGCAUGACUGAAAAUGUCCCUUUGAUUUCCUGUUCACACGCUCUUCCUCUUUCCAUGCUUUACGUCCUUCUUCAAAAACACUCACCUACGUACUCGCAGUAUUUGUUUUGUUAGUUUAUAUGAAACACAGAAUGUCGGAAGAACUGGAAGCUCAGUCUGACGUCAAGAAGAAGGUUCAGUUUGAUCUGGACUACAAGGAAAGCAUCGUGGACAUCUAUAUGAGCACAGAAAGCCUGAGGGUGCACGAUCGCCCCUGGGUGGAGGCGACUCCACCAACCCCACCAAGACACCCAGACUCUCCCCCAUCUGUGUCAUUUGGGGGUGAAAAUAGUAGAAGGAGUCCUGUCCAAGUAUUUUUGGCUGUAAUGUGUCUUAUUCUGACCAUUUGGAUAAUCAUCCUGACUGUCCAAGAACAUGUAGACCGAAACAAUUUGGAAAGGGUGAACCGUUUACUGUCAAACCUCACAGAAAUUUGGACAUCAAGUAAUGAAGCAAAGUGACUCACAUAAUGGCGUGCAAGAGACUGAGAAAACAAUCUAAGGUAUAGCGAUGUAUCAUCACAUUCAAAAAGAUAAAGAAUCCACUUUUACUCUUUUUUAUUCUUUUGCUUAAAAAAAGAAAAAAGAAAACACUAAAUGUGCAAUGCCACAAUGUUCCUGUAUUAUUAUUUCCAUGAAAACGUUGAUUGUUCCUGCAAACUAUUUGUACCUUCAUGUACUAUGGUAAUCUUGAUUGUUGCUGUUUUUAUUUGUUUUCAUAUGUUCCUGUUUUCUUCCAUUUAGUUAGAAAACCUGAACAUCUGGAUUAGUAACAGGAAAUCACCGAAGAUAAAUGAUUUGGACGAUUGUGUGACACAAAUAUUUGUUGGAAUUCAAUUAUUGGUGUUUCUGUCUCUUGUAGUUUUGGCACUUUGCACUUCAUAUAAUUAACACCAAAUGUUGUAAAUCAGGUCAAAUCUUCUUGCAGUGACUUCAGUUUUUAUUCGAAUUAUUAUUUUUAUUUACAAUUAUUAUAAAUUCUAUUAUUUUCACACUUUUAACAUGUCUUUCAAGUUUAGGAUUUGUACUUUCAAGGUUUUUUUUUCUUCCAAAAUAUACAAUCUGUAAUUUAAUUCACUUUUUUGACCUUAUAGUUGUAUAUACUGUUUCAGAAAUGUCACUUUAAAAAUAAAUUUUACUGUGUCCAAAAUAAUUUAUUUUGCGCGUUUGUUCUAUUUUUUUCAUUCUUUUAUCUUUUGAGAACAGUUUUUAGAAUGUUUACGUGGGAAAAUAUUUCUUUCCUUUGAUCUUUUAUUUAGUUUCUAAAUAGUUCUCAAGGAAUACUAUCUAUUUAAAUUGAAACGUUAAAGUGUGUGGUCAUCUGCUUUUAAGAAAUGACAGAAACGUAUAAAAUUGCUGUAGAAAAAAUAUGAGGAAAAUAAUGAGAAAAUUUGACAUGUCUGCUGGUUUGUAUAGAAUGUGAUCAGCCCUGAGUUUAUUGUUAACAAAAAUCAUAAAAAUGCAGAGUAAUGAAUCAUGUUAGUUUAAUUUGUAACUUGAAAAAAUCACUGAACUGAAGACCAGACUAGGAGGAUCUAUGCAUCUGCUUAGGUCAGGAUUUCCAUCCAUCUUCUAAAGCUGCUUGAUCCCUAGGGUCACAUGGUUGCUGGAGCCUAUCCUAGCUACUAGUGGGUGAACCAAAUAAAUCGCUUUUUUGAAUUUUGAAAACGAACACUGGCACAGGUCAAUCUUGGAUGAAGCCCAUAAAGUGUGUUAAGGAAAAUUGUUCAAGAGAUUACUACAAAUUUGAGCUCUAAUACCAUAAUAGUAAUUUCUUCAUGGAAAAAUUAUGGCUGGUUUAGAGCAUUUAGGCAAACACACUGGACAAUCUCCACAGUCCCCUACUAAACUGCACUGCAAAAAUGAUGCCUCUACUUUUGACCCACCCUUCACACACCUUGUCAUAUGCCCUAAACAUAAACAACUGUAUAAGUCAGAAUUUAAGUGAGUUAUAGACCCACUCUGAUGAAAAUGAAAUACUGUUCAUAAAGAAAAUCAGGCUCAAAAUUAAAUUUCUAAUUAUAUCUUUAUAAAAAUUGUUGUGAAUAAGGCGCAAAUGAAAAAAUGCUGUUGCCAAAAAACCUUGCUCCGCUCAAACAGAGAGCUCUCAGAAAGAGGGAGAGGAAGGGGGAGCGGACUUACUCUGUUCCAACAGUCCCGCCCACAACUCAGAGGUAAAUUUCUAAUCUUAAGAAGAUCCCAGUGGGACUUUAAGGUCCUAGGUUUUUUGUGGAGAUUUACUCACUUCUGCAACCAGCCUCUUGUGGUAUAUAGAGGAACUGCAACAUUGGAAAUUCCUGAUUUAGAUAUCAAGAUUUAAACAAAUAUUAUGAAUAGAAAUGGAAAGGAAAAAGUUUGAUUUUACACAAAAAUGUGUACACUCAAUUAAGUUUCAUAGUUCCUUUGUAGAAUCCAGCAAGUUAUAUAACAGAUGAUCAUUCAGUGUGUACAUGAAUGCAUAACAAUUUGGGCCUUUUUGUUUCAGCUCUGAAUGAACCAGUAGCCUGAUGAAGUGUUUCCCUGCUUUGGGCCAAACUUAAAAACAUUCCUCUUUGGACACUUCAUUUUUAUUAUUAUUUUAAUUAAUCCUUUCUUUUACUAAACCUAUUUUUGUAUUCAUUGUAUUUAUCUUUGUUAUCAUUAUGAAUACUGUCAAACUUUUUGCAUCUCCCUUAAAUAUUUUGUUUAUAAACCAAAUUAAAUUGUGUUGCCUUAUCUGUCAAAAGAAAUAUGUCAGUAUUGUUGUUUUUGUACAAAUAAAUGAACGUCUUCGUGCA